rnacentral:rRNA from 1 species
CCCAGUUCGGAUUGCAGGCUGNAACCCGCCUGUAUGAAGUUGGAAUCGCUAGUAAUCGCGGAUCAGCAUGCCGCGGUGAAUACGUUCCCGGGCCUUGUACACACCGCCCGUCACACCAUGAGAGUCGGGAACACCCGAAGUCAGUAGUCCAACCUCGUGAGGACGCUGCCGAAGGUAGGAUUGGCGACUGGGGUGAAGUCGUAACAAGGUACC